GUAUCCGUGGAGGAGUCACAUUUUCUUCUGGAGAUUCAUUCUCCACGUUUACUCUCAAUCAUGUUUGAGUGUUGCUUGUAUUCACAAUAUUGUCAAUACAUUUCUCUAGCCUUAGGAUUUGUUUUGUAUUAUUAUCCAGAUGGAAUGUAAUUACCCACGAGUAUAUGAAGUGCUAAUAUUUAGUCGCACAUGCUGAUAUUGAAUAUUCCGUAUUUAUUUUGCACCGGUAUGUUCAGUACGCCAUCUCACUCUUAUUUUAUGUGAAAGUUCUCUGUCCCUUACUUUAAAACAAAACUUUAAAGAUGCCAUUAAACAAUGCAAAUAAACGUACCGACAGAAGAGGCAGGACUUGGUCCUAGGGAGAGAGUCUGACCCCUUGUCCUACAGUAAAUAGAGAAAUGAAGGGAACAUUCAGGCAAAUGUCAGCCAACGGAUGAUUGCUUAAAGCAAGGGAUUCCCAACCACUAGGCCAUGGACUGGCCUGCCCUUUUUUAUAGUUUAUAGCCUGGCUAAUGCACAGAUCUGUGAUACACACAAACAGGUCGCAUAACCAUUCUUUCCUCCGCAAUAAUCAUAACACAAACAGUCAAGAUGGAUUUAGGUCCUACCUAAUAACACAUGUAAAAAAAGGGGUGAGCAGUUGAUCUGUAUGGGUCAAUCUGUGUUCAUUGACCCAUAGUCAGUAAUGUCCAAGCGCAACAGCACUACUUGUUUGCUGAACAGUUAUUUUCCAUGAAUGAGCUAUUGGAGGACGGGCUCAUUGUAAUGGCUGGAAUGGAAUUAAUGGAACGGAGUCAACAUAUGGUUUCUAUUUGUUUGAAACUGUUCCAUUUAUUCCAUUCCAGCCAUUACAAGGAGCCUGUCCUCCUAUAGCUCCUCCCAUCAGCCUCUUCUGACAUUGACCUUUAUAUAUUUUCACAAGCCGGAUUUAAAAAAAAAAAUGUUGCUAUGAACAUUCAUUGAAGAGAAAAAUCUAAGCGUUCCAUUGGCCAUUGUCCUUCAUCAUUGUGUAUGUGUUGCUUGAGAAAUUUGAUUUCCAGUCUUUCUACAAGGGCUCGCGCUCCUCUGUGUCCAGGCUGCAUUCCAACUCUGGACACUAUGGACUGCAAGCCCAUGUAGAGCGAGUGAAGAGUUUUGGAGAUGCACACCCUUCUAGUCUACCUUUGGCCUGCAGCCUACCACUCAAGAUGUUUCAUGUCUGUCUGGAAAGAUUUUGUUCUCCUAUUUCCAACAAUGUGGAUGUAUUCCUACUGCUACUGAAAAAGGAUUUGUCGAAACAAAAGGAGGCAUCAUCAGACUCCCUCCUGCUCCAUCCGGAAGGAUUCAAUGUUUAGCCGUUCUCGGGUUCCGCUUACGGAUUAUGUAACAUUUCUUAAUCGGUCUGCAACAAGCCCCGAGGAGUUUCAAGAGGAGGAAGGGCUUCCAAAUUGGAUAAAGUUCUCUUCGGAGAUUGGUUGUGAUAGAUUAUUCCAAGUCUUCGCACAAGAGAAAGUACAGUUGUAGAAGGACUGGGCCAACGUGGAGAAGACAGUGUUGGGUGUUUGGGAUGAUGGAGGUCAAACACAACAGACGGUGCCCAGUUCUUAAAAUGGUGGAAAACCGUUCACAAAAACCUUAAUCCCUAUCAUCAGACAACGUGCAGAGAUGUUCCACCAUUCUGAGUGGAGUGAUGCGGCGCAGGUCCUAAUCCAGGCACUUGUCAUCUCCCGUCUGGAUUACUGCAACUCGCUGUUGGCGGGGCUCCCUGCCUGUGCCAUUAAACCCCUACAACUCAUCCAGAACGCCGCAGCCCGUCUGGUGUUCAACCUUCCCAAGUUCUCUCACGUCACCCCGCUCCUCCGCACACUCC